rnacentral:rRNA from 1 species
AGCAGCCGCGGUAAUUCCAGCUCCAAUAGCGUAUAUUAAAGUUGUUGCAGUUAAAAAGCUCGUAGUUGAAUUUCGAGAUCAAAUUGUUGGUCGUGCCUUGGUACGUACUGGCAUUAUUGGUUUCUCCCUUCUGACGAACCAUGAUGUCAUUAAUUUGGUGUCAUGGGAAAUCAGGACUGUUACUUUGAAAAAAUUAGAGUGUUUAAAGCAGGCUCGCGCUUGAAUACAUUAGCAUGGAAUAAUGAAAUAGGACGUUUGAUUCUAUUUUGUUGGUUUCUAGGAUCGACGUAAUGAUUAAUAGGGAUAGUUGGGGGCAUUAGUAUUCAAUUGUCAGAGGUGAAAUUCUUGGAUUUAUUGAAGACUAACUACUGCGAAAGCAUUUGCCAAGGAUGUUUUCAUUAAUCAAGAACGAAAGUUAGGGGAUCGAAGACGAUCAGAUACCGUCGUAGUCUUAACCAUAAACUAUGCCGACUAGGGAUCGGAUGAUGUUAAUUUUUUAAUGACUCAUUCGGCGCCUUACG